AUUGAACGCUGGCGGAAUGCUUUACACAUGCAAGUCGAACGGUAGAGGGGGCAACCCCUCGAGAGUGGCGAACGGGUGAGUAACACGUAGGUGACCUGCCGCGAAGCGGGGGAUAACCACUGGAAACGGUGGCUAAUACCGCAUGGUCCUGCGCCGACGGGAGUCGGUGGGGGUAAAGGGCUUACUGCUUCGCGAGGGGCCUGCGUCCGAUUAGCUGGUUGGGGGGGUAACGGCCUACCAAGGCGCAGAUCGGUAGCUGGUCUGAGAGGACGAUCAGCCACACGGGAACUGAGACACGGUCCCGACUCCUACGGGGGGCAGCAGUGAGGAAUAUUGCGCAAUGGGGGCAACCCUGACGCAGCAACGCCGCGUGGAGGAUGAAGGUCUUCGGAUUGUAAACUCCUUUUCUUGGGGAAGAGCAAGGACGGUACCCGAGGAAUCAGUCACGGCUAACUACGUGCCAGCCGCCGCGGUAA
rnacentral:rRNA from 1 species